GGAUAAAAGAUGGAUAUUUUUUUCCUGGAGAAGCUAAAACAAUGUAACUUUGAGGUUCUGAUACCAGCUUUUACAACGUUAUUUACAGAGUUCACCAGACUUCUCUGUGGUAUUUCCUGACCAUGCCGAAAAGCUAUUUGAAACUUGGGCAUUGCAUUUUCCAGACAGAAUCCUGCAACUUCCCAGCCAAGAACCAGGAGCAUCAACAAAUCACCUCCAGAACCCCAUGAUGAUAUUCCAACUCCUGUCUACAAAAGUGGGAAGAAAAUCUUAAGUCUAUGUUGGGACCAACAUGGUUGCAUUCUUCUGAGAGGCUGAUGUGACAAAACCAUUCCCAUUUGUCCUUGGAUUGGAAGAUGGCGAUCUCUGCCAUCAAGCCUUCGUUGUUUUUGACAGACAGUCACUCCAGCAAUACACCCUCCUUGGUGAUGUUGACAUGUUUUGAACUUUUUUUUUA